GCCUCUUUGUCCCCGCCGGACCGCGGCCCGAGGCGGCGCAGGGGCCCUCCGGCUGGCCCGGCCCGCGCGCAUUCCCCUCUUCCAAAGGGGCCGCUUUAACUGCUCCCCGUGAAAUAAUAAUUCAUUAUGUCACCGGGAGGGAAGAAAGGGAGUAUUUCGUGGAGCUGCCCCAUUCAAAGCCACCACCCGCGGCCUGGAGGGGACCACAAAGCUGGGAACACAGCUGGGACUUGCCCAUCGACUCAUGGAAAAGUCAACACGCUUUGGGGAAAAUACUUCCAAAGAGUGCUUUCUUGCACAGAUAACAUUCCAUUUUGUUUCUGAGAGGCAAAAACAAUCUCUGGUUUGGUUGUAAAACUAUGUCCUUCAAAUGUCCCAUUUUUAUCUUUUGUGGGGGGCUGUCGCUUGGGGUUUUACAAACCUGAGAAGUUUACAUUGGGAAACAAUGAUUGUUCUCAUUACAACUAAACUGCAAAAAAACAAAAACAAAAACCAACAAACCUC